rnacentral:rRNA from 1 species
GAUGAACGCUGGCGGCGUGCUUAACACAUGCAAGUACGAACGGGAAACCUUUUAUUGAAGCUUCGGCAGAUUUAGAUUGUUUCUAGUGGCGGACGGGUGAGUAACGCGUGGGUAACCUGCCUUAUACAGGGGGAUAACAGUCAGAAAUGACUGCUAAUACCGCAUAAGCGCACAGAGCUGCAUGGCUCGGUGUGAAAAACUCCGGUGGUAUAAGAUGGACCCGCGUUGGAUUAGCUAGUUGGUGAGGUAACGGCCCACCAAGGCGACGAUCCAUAGCCGGCCUAAGAGGGUGAACGGCCACAUUGGGACUGAGACACGGCCCAGACUCCUACGGGAGGCAGCAGUGGGGAAUAUUGCACAAUGGGGGAAACCCUGAUGCAGCGACGCCGCGUGAAGGAAGAAGUAUCUCGGUAUGUAAACUUCUAUCAGCAGGGAAGAAAAUGACGGUACCUGACUAAGAAGCCCCGGCUAACUACGUGCCAGCAGCCGCGGUAAU